UGGUCCUUUCUUUAUAAAAAAAAAAUUAAAAAAUGUGACGUCAAUAAUGAGACAGAGAUUUGAAUUUUUGGAUUCCAACUUUGCCCUUCCCCGUUUUGAUCUGAAUUUAACAUUCUCUUUCUUCCCUCUUUCAUCAAAUUUUUGAAUUUCUCCAUUCCGAUACCAUUGUUGAGUUCGCUUUCGGCCUUCCGAUAUCGCUC
rnacentral:lncRNA from 1 species